UGUUUGUGAGUGGCUUUCAAACCAGAUUUAAUUUAAUGUCAAGUACCUCUUCUUUGUAGCACUUAUCAUGGUUGUAAUAUUUCACUUGUGUGAAUUUUAAAUUAAGAGGACUGAAUGAGGUCAAGCUGUUUGUAAAGUGCUCGGUACCCAAUACCUGCUCAGUAAAUAAUGACAGUGGCACCAGCCACCAGACACUGUUCCAGGGAUUAACUCGCUGAGCCUUCAGAGACCUUAUGAGGUAGAAGCUGGUGUUACCCCCACUUCUAGCUGGAGAAACUGGGGAACAGAGAAGGGACCACUCACCCAAGGUCAUUUGGCUCAUCAGCUGCAGAGCCUGGUCCAAAGAAAGGCCCCAUUAGCCAAGGGCCACAUUCCUCCAGGGCGUCCCCAGCAAACGCAGGGCUAGAAUGACCCUAACCCCACCUCGCCUGCUUCCUAAUAACGCAGCACCAGUGACCAACGGAACGAGUAUGUGGGGUCUGCCUCUCAUCCUGCUGGGGGGACACCAGAUGGCCACUGCACCGGAAGCCUAGCCUUGUGCCACCCAUGGUUGGACCUGGAUGGGCCUCCAAGGUCACUGAGCCACCCCAGCAGCAGGCAGUGGAUCUGAGACACGCGACCCUCAGUGCACCAGGAGCCCUGUCCGGGAGGAGGAGGAGGCUGCUUGAACUGUCACUCAGACACAUGUGGUGCGUGUGCACACAUACAUAGGCGGCUGCGACUUUCAUCUGUAUUUAUUUUUCUUUCAUAUAAAAGUUACAGGUGUGAAAUGUCUGCAGGAAGAUGCCACUAUCAGCCAGGUUAGUGGGGGAUAUAUAUUACAAUGUAACAUUGGGGAGGCGUGGGGCCAGUGGAGGGAGGUGCUUCUCAGAAUUGGGGUUCAGUUCAGACAUGGCACGUGCCUGCCCUCCCCCUGGCUCCACCCCACCUGCAGGAAAGCCCCGGCUCUCUCUGCAGGGAACCAAAUUGUCCUGAUGGCGCCUGUCUGUCUUACAGACCCACUCUCACCCCCUGCCCCCACGACAGACAAAUCACGGCCACGCUGUAACAGCUCUGGGUUCAGUAACUCUCAGAGCCAGGAGGCUUUUCAGGAGGCGCGGGGUGGGGCCGCCUGUCAGCCAAUAAGUUAAAACACACACUGCACCUGCUGUCCUCACGCAGGGGUCACCAGACACGCUGGCCCCUCAUCUACCCGCACUGCUCGCUUGGUGCCUGGCACCUCUGCUCAGACCACUGAGGGCUCCCGGAGGGGGCGGGUGGGCAGGGCUGGGGGGUGAUGUGUAGGCGCAGGGUCUGUUGUGAACUGAGGGAGGCGUCGCGCCCACCCACCCUAUCCAGCUCAUGGCUGAGAUCAAGGCGGACAGGCGGCAGACACGGUCCCUCCGCCAGCGGCUGGCUUUCUGAGGCUGUUUGUCUUUGCCUAUGCUAGGGAGGGAGGUCCCCGGGGGCUCUGAACGCAGGGGAAACGCCAGCUCCCACAACCCACGGGCCUGAGCGCACAGCGGCCCCCGAGCACACACAGCAGCAUUCAACAGAGCUGGGCGAGGCCGCGAGAGGACUGAAAUGAGAGGACUUUGAAAACCAGGCACAAGCUAAAACCCAGCCCCACACACACUACUGUUACUAAACAGUGACUCUGCACACACACACUCCUUAAAUAAUAAAGUGACGUGUUCCGGCCGGCCACCGCAGCAUCGCCAGCAGGGGGGCCGUAACUGACAUUUCAUAGACUUCUCCCCUCUAGGUACAGGACAAACGAAAGGAAACGGCCCAGCCCAGAUUUUCUUCUUGAUAAAAGCUGCUCAAAAACCCACGAAGGACUCAAAAGUGACAGGGUUGUUUUUUAAAAGAAAACCUAAGUAAAAGACGUUGCCUGCUACUGUUCCUCUUGGUUCUGGGCUAAGUGCAGUGAGGUCCUGGUGGUUGCUGGACCGAGUCCCAACCCCAGAAAUGAGCGCUCCACUCUGCACAACAGGACGUGGGGACAGCCGUCCAGGUUCUGCCGGGUACCCUGCCCGCAGGCCCACGUCUGGGCUGGCACGGAGCCCAGAGGGUGUGGGAGGCUCUAGCCGGGCACCCCUGUGUGCGGGGGAGCCCUACAGGCCCCACCUAGAUUGUCGACCUCAGUAGCAAGAGUGCGUUUGAACAAGGAUGGCAAGAGCACCUGCUCCUAAAGACGCUUUCCCGAGGAGACAGCCGGCCGCGUGGUGGGGCGUGGCCUCGGGGGUGACAGCACUGGUAGGCAGGUCUGAUGAG